ensembl:lncRNA
CUUUUUCCAGUCUUCUCAACUUCACCCACUUUUUGAAAUUUUGACUGUUCAUAUUUAGCAUGACUUUCUGUCACCUGGGUGUUCUCAUGUCUUUCUGUCAUCAGGAGUGCCAAAACCUCAGAGUUCCGUUCAGUGAUUUACCACUUUAUAUUGCAUGAUUGUCUGCCAAGCAUAAAAGCCUGAACAGCUCUCUCACAACUCUUUAGACAUACUGUAAGUGUGCCUUUAUAAGUGCUUCAUCAACAGAAAGAAUCUGAAGUGUGGAUGGAUACGCAGUGUACGUGUAAAUGGACUGAGCCAGCUUUCCAGUAUGUCUGACUCAUUUGUGAUAGUUGGCACUGUCCCAUCAGGUUGCGAGAGCGUCCCCUCCUACGUGGGCAGUGUCUUCCCAGUUGCAGCAACUUCCAUUUGAAUGUUUAAUUUAAAUUGUGCUUUUUUUCAUGCUUUAUGUGACAAAGUACGCAGUUUGCGUAAGGCAACCAACUCCCAGGGUGCACCAUCCCAGUUGCUCAAAAAAAAAAAAAAAACACGCCAUUCCCCCAACCACGCUCACACCUCAUGUUUGCAGCUGAAUGUUCAUAAUUGAUGGAUGGACAUCUAUCCCUGGUUAAAAGACAUCAGCAAUCCCGCGCAGAGAAAAGAAAACGUAAGAAAGUAAAAUAAAACUUAGAGGCGGAGCAACACGUGUCACCCCGCCCAUAUUUGUUUCCCCCGCCUUUGACAUUUUGCUCCGACCCAGCAGGGGGCAGUUUGCGUUGAAACAAACAGAACGGUGGCAACUGCAGCAGCAGAGUAAUAACGAUACACUACGCUGAUUGCAUGAGGUGAGUAAAAAUGGUUGUGUACAUAUAUGUUAACAUUUAACGCAAUGUUCAACCAUUUAUUUAUCCAUGGUAGGUUAAAUUUGAAUAGUUAUUGUUAAAAAGUUAUAACGUGCUCAUUUUAUUGUUCUUUGUGGAUUGUAACAGUACACUCUGUACAUGGCUUUGGGUCUUAGAUUUGAUUUAACAGAGGAUGACAUGCCUCUGAUCAGGAGGUGGUGGUGUGCUGUUCUCCUGGACAACUUCACUUCGCAAAUAUUAUGCAGUUGUGACAACAAUCUAUCAGGUUUGUCUAAACCAAGGUUGUCUGUAUUCAGUGUUUAUAUCAUGUUUAAUAACUUUUAUAUACAAGUAUAAAUAAACCUUUAUAUGUUUUUGUUUCAACAGUUUCCCAGGAACUCCUUUCUGAAAUCCUCAAUGAAGUUGACACAUUCCCUGGUAUGCAGAUGGUUUAGGGAUGUGGUCACUUAAGAAGUUUUUCGGAAAGCAGCACACUUUGCCUGGUUAGACAGUAAGAUUUCCCACCCCUGUUCAAUGCACAUUCUCCAAUUUAAUUUUGUAGUACGAGGCUGCUAAAGGUUUUUUUUUUUUUUUUUUUUUUUUUUUUGUCUUUCCUGUAUUUUGUCUUUACACUAUAAGUUGUGGCAAACUGGAAGAAUUUCACUCCCAGCUACUGGAAAAUUUCAAGUCAAACCCACCAGGGUACAGGGGAAGAGGCCAACAUGGUAAACUUCUGGGCUUUUACUCAGAUGUUUGCACAGGAUUUUGCUCCCAGGAGUUUUUUUUUUUUUUUUUUUUUUUUUUUUUUUUUUUUUUCUGUGUGAAAAACAAUCUAUCGUUCCUUAAGGUUUCUCAUAUUUGAUGGUAACAUCAUUUGCUAUGUAUUGCUUUAAGCAGACAUGAAGUCCAUCUAAUUAAUGAAUUCUUAAUUUAGUUGUGACAAUUCUGUGUAAUAUUUCAAUUACCAAUGAUUUUAGAAAGUGUUUAAAGGGGUGAUUAAAUGUAUUAUGUUUUUAAGUAGAAGCAGGUAACUACAUAAAUUCAGGAUUAAUGAGGUUUUCAGUAUUGCAGUUCAGAUAACAAAUAACAGAAAAAGUGACGAGUGUUUUUGGGUUCAAGUUCUUUAGAACCUGUGUAGUUCCUUCCUUGCAACAAUUAUCCAUGGUUUUAUUGAGGUAAAAAUAUUUGUCGGCAUACUGAUUACCAUGUGUUGUAACCAUACAAACACCAUAGGUAAUUAUAGUUUUUGUAGCAAAACCAUGGUUAAUUUUCGUAGGGCUAAGGGAAUGUUCAGUAUAUUAUUGGUGGCGUUCAGAGAUUGGUGAUAAUUUGCUACACACAAUAUAUAUAUAUAUAUAUAUACAUACAUACAUACAUAUAUUACAUAUAUAUACACACACACACAUACACUGUAAAAAAUUUAUAAUCCUCCCAACUCAAAAUUUUCUAGUGACUGGUCACAUCUAAAAUUUUCAAUUGGCCCAAGUGAAAUUCUGUAAAUGUAAUUUUAUCAAUUGUAGCAAUAGUCUGUUAACAUUGGCUCAAUGAGAAAUAAUUUGUUAAAACAAUUGAAAAGAAAUUAGUUUACCAACCCAUGUUAUUGGCCCAAUUAUACAUUUUAAAUUGUAGUAGCAUUCCUUUUUAGUUUAACCUAAACUAAAAAUGUAUUUUGGUAAAUUUAUAUUAGUAAAGCAACUUCACUGUAUUGUUUAUUCCCCGUUGCCCCAAAAGAAAAAAAUAUACAUAUUAAACACUCAAGCCAUACUGCCACAUUUUAUUUAAUACAUUUUAUUAAAUCUACAACAGUAUUGUGAAAAUACCUUAAAUGGUAAAUACAUUGAACAUUUCUGCACAGUAGACCUUAGUAGAUAAAAAUCAUGCAUUUCAAUUCAGGAUUCCAAGAUACACAAAACUCAUUAGACCUUAGAUCUUACAUGAACAAAACCACAAUUAUUUUAAAAACAGGUAUUAUCAGUGUUUAGAGAAAUUUCACUGACAUUUUGGUAUUUAGGUACUACUAUUAUGAAACUGCACUAACAAUAUUAAACAUUUAAAUAAUUUAAAAUAUUAUGUUAAUAUUUGCUAAAGUGCAAAAACGUCAACACAACAUAAAAUGCAAGUAACAGAAGAGGGUUACUUUAAAUAUUCAGUGUAAAUUUACUUGAAUUUUUGUAAAACAUUUACAAAUAUUUGAAACGCUGCAAAAGUAUGAAGUAAAAAAUUACUUCAGGGUUGUGUUUAGUGUAAUUUCAUCUUCUAUAUAAGCUCAUGAAACUGCAUCUUACUCAUCAAAUAUCAAGCAUGUAAACACAUUUACAGAUAUAUAGAAAGCAGCAAAAAACAUUCUCACAAAAGGUACUUUGAGCUUAAGGGUACUUUUCCUGUAAGGGUUAAGUGAAAUUCCACUUAGUUUUCCAAUAAUUUGCUCAUCAGAGUUUGCACUUUUUUGCUGCACUCAGUUCCCAUGUUCAAAAAGACCUUCUGAAUGAAUUCAAAAGUAUAUCUUAAGUCCUUGUUGUACUCCAUGUUAAGUGCGUAGAGUAUGCCAAAGAGGACAAUGAACGCACUCAUAAAGUCUGCCAUGUUUUCCAGGACAACUUCCUUUUCAAGGAUAAUUGUAACAUUUACCACAUGAUGUCCGGAAGUCAUUUGUGCUUCCUGUUCUUAUGAGCUGUGAAUGUAUGGAAACUGUUGUUAAUAAAAUUACAAUUUAAGAAUGGACA